UGGCAUAUAUGUAUGGAAACAGGCGCGAAGUCCACGUGCGGCUACGGGUCGAGGUCGUGCGAGUGUGGCGAUGUCCCGCCGCCAGACUUUCCUUCGAACUGCCCAUCAGUCUUCCAUCAACGCCAGAUACUCCCGCGCGCCUCGAUGUGGUCUUCUGUAAGAUGGUGACGAUCGUUCUUGCCGGCAAGGACUCUAGCCGCCAAACUCCGGGC
rnacentral:lncRNA from 1 species